rnacentral:rRNA from 1 species
GUAGGGGGCAAGCGUUGUCCGGAUUUAUUGGGCGUAAAGAGCUCGUAGGCUGUUGCGUAAGUCGGACGUGAAACUACAGGGCUCAACCCUGAGAUGCCGUUCGAUACUGCGCUGACUAGAGUCCGGUAGGGGAGCAUGGAAUUCCUGGUGUAGCGGUGAAAUGCGCAGAUAUCAGGAGGAACACCAGUGGCGAAGGCGGUGCUCUGGGCCGGAACUGACGCUGAGGAGCGAAAGCAUGGGUAGCAAACAGGAUUAGAUACCCUGGUAGUCCAUGCCCGUAAACGUUGGGCACUAGGUGUGGGACCCCUCCUUAACGGGGUUCCGUGCCGUAGCUAACGCAUUAAGUGCCCCCCGCCUGGGAGUACGGCCGCAAGGCUA